rnacentral:rRNA from 1 species
UUUGGUGAUGAUGGCGGAGGGGAACCACGCGUUCCCAUACCGAACACGACCGUUAAGCCCUCCAGCGCCGAUGGUACUUGGACCGCAGGGUCCUGGGAGAGUAGGACGUUGCCAAGC